GAUGAAGAACGUAGCGAAAUGCGAUAAGUAAUGUGAAUUGCAGAAUUCAGUGAAUCAUCGAAUCUUUGAACGCACAUUGCGCCCGCCAGUAUUCUGGCGGGCAAGCCUGUCUGAGCGUCAUUUCAACCCUCAUGCCCCUAGGGCGUGGUGUUGGGGAUCGGCCAAAGCCCGCGAGGGACGGCCGGCCCCUAAAUCUAGUGGCGGACCCGUCGUGGCCUCCUCUGCGAAGUAGUGAUAUUCCGCAUCGGAGAGCGAUGAGCCCCUGCCGUUAAACCCCCAACUUUCCAAGGUUGACCUCAGAUCAGGUAGGAAUACCCGCUGAACUUAAGCAUAUCAAUAAGCGGAGGA
rnacentral:misc_RNA from 1 species